rnacentral:rRNA from 1 species
AUGGCUUCUUCCGGUUCCGUGAUGAGGCCACCGUGUGCUAACCCUGAGGACAUGCCGGACAAGUGGACAGACGCCGAGUUGGAUAAGGUGAAGGACAAAGAUAUGAGAACUCCAUCAUGUUGGUGUGGAGAUGUUUGCAAUGUUAAGGUAUCCACCGACCGCAAGAAAUCAUGGACGGAAGGAAGAAGAUAUUUUGUUUGUCCCAACUAUGCCUACGAUCGUCCUCGUCCAGCUCACGUCUAUGAUGUACCGCCGGUAAGUUGUUCAAGUUCAAAAAUGUCGUCAACCAUUGAAUCUAUCUUACUAAUGACCACAUUUGUUCUUUAUUCGUACGUAGUCGCCGCCUCCACUUUGUAA